GUCUACGGCCAUACCACCCUGAAUGAGGCCGAUCUCGUCUGAUCUCAGAAGCUAAGCAGGGUCGGGCCUGGUCAGUACUUGGAUGGGAGAAGUUUGUCUUUCGACC
rfam:Ailuropoda melanoleuca scaffold2332_19, whole genome shotgun sequence.